UACGUAGGGUGCGAGCGUUAAUCGGAAUUACUGGGCGUAAAGUGUGCGCAGGCGGCCGAGCAAGUCGAGUGUGAAAGCCCCGGGCUUAACUUGGGAAUUGCGCUCGAAACUACUUGGCUGGAGUGUGGCAGAGGAGGGUGGAAUUCCACGUGUAGCGGUGAAAUGCGUAGAGAUGUGGAGGAACACCGAUGGCGAAGGCAGCCCUCUGGGCCAACACUGACGCUCAUGCACGAAAGCGGGGGGAGCAAACAGGAUGCGAAAACACAGUAGUCC
rnacentral:rRNA from 1 species